rnacentral:lncRNA from 1 species
GAUGGGGGGCUCGGCGCCACAGGAGAGCGGGGUGUGCGUUUUGAGGCUGCCCCCAGGAAGGGCAGACAGUGCUCAGGCAGGCGUGGGAGCAGGAGGAGCUGCUCCAGGGCCACGGGAAGGAGCAAAACAGCCGUCAUGGGUAGCAGCAGCAGCGGGUGGGCAAGCAAAGGUUUGGCGUGGCCGAGAGGACAUGCGGCUGCAGGCAGGGCCGCCCUCCUUUCCUUGCAGUAAGGUCUGUCGGGAGACCUCACCCCACGGGGCUGCACCUCCUCUCCCCCACCCUGGGCUGGAAGAGGCAGACAGGGCCAGGGGGGUACGGGGCAGCCGAGCUGCUCUGGGACUGCAGGGCCACGCCGCCUCGCAAUGAAUGGGCUGGGGACCCCCCUGGCAUCAGUCCUGCUGCCCCCCUGUCCGGCAUCACCCGUGCGUGGGGCCGUCAGCCAAGUGGGCGCCCGUCGGUGCUGGCGGCAGGGGCGGUGCGAGGAGCUGGGGACCGCAGGCGGGCUCCCUCCUGCCCCCUGCACGUCCUCUGCUCUCGGCUCUCAGCCCGGCAGCGGGGCUGCUCACUGGUAGCGGGGCUGGCUCUCCAGCACGGGGCCCGUCCUGUACUC